CACGUAGGGUGCGAGCGUUGUCCGGAAUUAUUGGGCGUAAAGAGCUCGUAGGCGGUCUGUCGCGUCGGCUGUGAAAACUCGGGGCUCAACCCCGAGCCUGCAGUCGAUACGGGCAGACUAGAGUGCGGUAGGGGAGACUGGAAUUCCUGGUGUAGCGGUGAAAUGCGCAGAUAUCAGGAGGAACACCGGUGGCGAAGGCGGGUCUCUGGUACGUGACUGACGCUGAGACGCGAAAGCGUGGGGAGCAAACAGG
rnacentral:rRNA from 1 species